AUGCGUGCGCCGGCGGGGAGGAGGCGCGACGAGGCCACUCACUUUGUCAUGAGCGAUUUUGCGCUAAGCAACGACCACGCCAUGCUGCUCCAUGGCCAUGGCCGCGACAAAUCGAACGUCACCUACCCGGCCCAUCCGUCCGUGUUCCCGGCAAAUCCAAGACCCAUGCAGGGAGGUGGCUUCAACGAAUCACCACGCCAAACGAGGAGUUUCUGUGCACACACAGCUCGGAAGAACGACGCUGCUGUCCUCCCGAUAAGUACUGAAGCAAAACUCUUCUCCGCUGACGGAUACGCUGGAAUCCGCAACGUUUCGGACGUUUUCUGCCCACCAGAAUGGGGCCAUACUGGGCGAGCACUGGAUGAUCAGCACAAGAACAAGGAGAGUGAUCUGCUUCUCUUCGACUGGCCUGAACUGGAUGACUUGGAGGAUCUCCAGACAAACCUGAGAAAACUCGAUUCGGCGUUUGAGCUAGGGAGCGACUAUUUCGAUGUCCCGAUGUGGCCUUCGAUUUGCUCGCCGGACGUUCAGCUUGUGCUGAGCAGCUACUUUGACAACCCCCAUCCGUCGACUAAUCCUGACACCAACGGUCAGCAGCCAUCCAGGAAGAAAGGAAAGGAGACGCCACUGAACUCGUCUUCCUCCUCCGUGGAGAUGGAGCAUUUCCCGCGGCUGUCAGACGCCGACCUCCUCUGCCCCUUCGACUUCCAUGACAUGCUCGUCCCAACAUCCUCCAGCGUCAUGUGCAACGACGAGAUCAUGUCUUCCUCCGCUGCUCGCUCCAGCCCAGACGAUCUCGUCUCGGCCUACGCUUCGACGAAGAAUAAUCAGCCGCGUGCGACUCCGGACAUGAUCCUGGACGAGAUGGCCGGGAACCCGCUGGAGAUGUACUUCCCUCCGCUGGCGACGUGCGAGCAGCCUCAAGUGCCGAUGAGUGGCACCGCCUCGACGCUCGCCGGCGACGGUGCUCUGAACGGUGCAGCCUUGCAGUCCGGCUCUAGGGGGAGGAGGGGUUCGGGAGGGGUGCGUGAGAAGGCUCGCCCGUCGUCGGUUCCGGAGGCCGCGCCGGCGCCGGUGAGGCAUCUCGGGUUCCAGAAGCUUCAGGAAGGCUUGAAUCAGUUGGAUGUGGGAACCAAGGCGUGCAUCAGAGACGCCCUGUACCGGCUGGCCUACAGCGUGGAGCACAGACAACAGGUGGUAGAACCGAAUGUGGGUUCCUCGGCUGCAAACAGGCUCAGCACAUCGAGCGUGUGGGCGGAGACCGAGAGGAGCCCCAUGGAUCGCUCCGUGGCGCAGCUUCUUCUGAAGAAGCCGCUGGAUCAGAGGACGGCGAAUCGUGCCGCGUGA
rnacentral:rRNA from 1 species